rnacentral:rRNA from 1 species
UACGUAGGGUGCGAGCGUUGUCCGGAAUUAUUGGGCGUAAAGAGCUUGUAGGCGGUUUGUCGCGUCUGCCGUGAAAAUCCGGGGCUCAACCCCGGACUUGCGGUGGGUACGGGCAGACUAGAGUGUGGUAGGGGAGACUGGAAUUCCUGGUGUAGCGGUGAAAUGCGCAGAUAUCAGGAAGAACACCAAUGGCGAAAGCAGCUUUCUGGGACGGUACUGACGCUGAGACGCGAAAGCGUGGGGAGCGAACAGG